rnacentral:rRNA from 1 species
GGAGGGUGCAAGCGUUGUUCGGAAUUAUUGGGCGUAAAGCGCGUGUAGGCGGCUUGGAAAGUCGGAUGUGAAAGCCCGGGGCCCAACCCCGGAACUGCAUUCGAAACUGUCUAGCUAGAGUCUCGGAGAGGAGAGCGGAAUUCCCGGUGUAGAGGUGAAAUUCGUAGAUAUCGGGAGGAACACCAGCGGCGAAGGCGGCUCUCUGGACGAUGACUGACGCUGAGACGCGAAAGCGUGGGGAGCAAACAGGGAUUAGAUACCCUGGUAGUCCACGCCGUAAACGUUGAGUGCUAGGUGUCGCGGGUAUUGACCCCCCUGCGGUGCCGUCGCUAACGCAUUUAGCACUCCGCCUGGGGAGUACGGUCGCAAGACUA